UACGGGGGGGCAAGCGUUGUUCGGAGUUACUGGGCGUAAAGCGUGCGUAGCGGUGCCAUAAGUCUGCUGUGAAAUCUCCCGGCUUAACUGGGAGGGUGCGGUGGAAACUGUGGUGCUGGAGUGUGGGAGAGGUAGGCGGAAUUCCUGGUGUAGCGGUGAAAUGCGUAGAUAUCAGGAGGAACACCUGUGGUGUAGACGGCUUACUGGACCAUGACUGACGCUGAGGCACGAAAGCGUGGGGAGCAAACAGG
rnacentral:rRNA from 1 species